rnacentral:rRNA from 1 species
GUGGGGAAUCUUAGACAAUGGGCGCAAGCCUGAUCUAGCCAUGCCGCGUGAGCGAUGAAGGCCUUAGGGUUGUAAAGCUCUUUCGCUGGGGAAGAUAAUGACUGUACCCAGUAAAGAAGCCCCGGCUAACUCCGUGCCAGCAGCCGCGGUAAUACGGCGGGGGCUAGCGUUGUUCGGAAUUACUGGGCGUAAAGCGCACGUAGGCGGACUGGAAAGUCAUGGGUGAAAUCCCGGGGCUUAACCCCGGAACUGCCUUUGAUACUCCCAGUCUUGAGUUCGAGAGAGGUGAGUGGAAUUCCGAGUGUAGAGGUGAAAUUCGUGGAUAUUAGGAGGAACACCAGUGGCGAAGGCGUCUCACUGGCUCGAUACUGACGCUGAGGUGCGGAAGCGUGGGGAGAAAACAGGAUCCGAAACCCCUGUAGUCC